rnacentral:rRNA from 1 species
GAUGAACGCUGGCGGCGUGCCUAAUACAUGCAAGUCGAGCGAACGGACGAGAAGCUUGCUUCUCUGAUGUUAGCGGCGGACGGGUGAGUAACACGUGGAUAACCUACCUAUAAGACUUGGAUAACUUCGGGAAACCGGAGCUAAUACCGGAUAAUCUUUUGAACCGCAUGGUUCAAAAGUGAAAGACGGUCUUGCUGUCACUUAUAGAUGGAUCCGCGCUGCAUUAGCGAGUUGGUAAGGUAACGGCUUACCAAGGCAACGAUGCAUAGCCGACCUGAGAGGGUGAUCGGCCACACUGGAACUGAGACACGGUCCAGACUCCUACGGGAGGCAGCAGUAGGGAAUCUUCCGCAAUGGGCGAAAGCCUGACGGAGCAACGCCGCGUGAGUGAUGAAGGUCUUCGGAUCGUAAAACUCUGUUAUUAGGGAAGAACAUAUGUGUAAGUAACUGUGCACAUCUUGACGGUACCUAAUCAGAAAGCCACGGCUAACUACGUG